rnacentral:tRNA from 1 species
AGUAAAGAAGAAAGGUUUCUCAAAGGGCUCAUGCCCCUUCUGUUGGAGUUCAACUCUCCACUUUGCUA